AGUGUGACGUCUGUGGCUCCACACCGCCGCACAUCGUUCUGUUAGGCUUUGUGGUGGAGUGGGUGCGGGUGUGGGUGUGGAUGCUCCUGCUCUCCCGUCUGUGGCGCAGGUCUUCAGGAGCCGAGUCCACAGUGUCAGGCCUCAGGCCUUCCUGUCUCCCACCGCCAGUUUGCCACGCGGUCCCCGUGACUGCCUAUGUGGGUAUUUUCUCAGAACGUUACGCCAGUGACCUAGGCGACCUAUUCCCCAUCAGAUCCAGGUUGACCUCGUCCCGACUAAGGACAGAGCAACUUCCAUUACUGCUGUGGCCCAGGUUGGUUCUGGCUUGCCAUGGGUCCCACAGUCUGAAGACAUUGGCCGGAAGCCACUCCUGACGCGGGGUAGCCCUCCUAAAGUCUUGUGUGACUUUGGUGGGUCUCCAGAGACCUCUCUGAAGCUUCCAAGUACCCCAUGUCCCAGAUAAUUAAGCUUUGGGUGUGGGUGGGGGAGAAACGUAGUUGUCUCCAACCCAGAGACUCCAGCAGAUACCGUGAAGAGGACGAGAUCGUUCCUUCACACAGGGAAAGGGUGUGAAUGGCUACCUGGCCAUGGUCCAAGGUGGCUAUGACCUGUCGCCCCACCCAGUGUCCUGCUGAAGACCAGCUGACUCCCCUCAUCAGGCUGCCAGAUGGGCCCAGUGGAGGAGGGAGACAGGGUACAGAUGGGGACAUACAGUGCUGGCAACAGCUGGAGAGUUUGUUUGUUGUUUUCAGAUUUCUCAGGGAAAGAUAAAAUGAAUAAGAAGAAACAGCGGAACUCAGGUAUUUGGUUUAUUCAAAUUGGCUUUUUAUUUUAUUUUUAUUUUUAAUUUAUUUCCAGGCAGAGUUUAUGUAUAUCCCUGGCUGUCUGUCCUAGAACUAACUCUGUAGAUCAGGCCUCAAACUCAGAGACAAACCUGCCUCUGCUUCCAGAGUGCUGGGAUUAAAAGUAUGAUUCACCACAACCUGGCCUCAAAUCGGCUUUUAUCCUGCAUGAUAAAACACUCUACCAUGAAACUACAUCUCAGACCCAAGGUGACCUUUUUAAACUUUUUAUGAUGUUUUUGAGAUGGAGGAGGGGAUUCUUGCCAUGUGGGCCGACUAGUUUUAUGUCAGUUUGACCCAAGUCAUUUGGGAAAAGGGACUCUCAAUUGGGAAAAUGCCUCCAAAAGAUUUGCCUGUAGCCAAGAGUGUAGUGUGUUUUCUUGAUUAAUGAUUGAUGUAGGUGGGUCCAGCUCGUGGGUGUGCUGCCUGGAGGCAGGUAGUCCUAAAUUACAUAAGAAAGCAGUUAGCUGUGAGCAAAAGCCCGUAAACAGCAUUCCUUCAUAUCCUUUGUGAGUUCCUGAGGUUCCUCUCCUGACUUUCUCUGGUGAUGGACUAUGAUAUAAAAGUGUAAGUGGAAUAAACCCUUUCUCCCUUG
rnacentral:lncRNA from 1 species